CUUGGUCAUUUAGAGGAAGUAAAAGUCGUAACAAGGUUUCCGUAGGUGAACCUGCGGAAGGAUCAUUAGUGAAUCUUCAAAGUCGGCUUGUCGGAUUGUGCUGGUGGAGACACAAGUGCACAUCUGCAAGUCGCAAACCCACACACCUGUGCAUCUAUGACCCUGAGUGCCGCUUUGCAUGGCCCCUUGAUUUGGGCCUGGCGCUCGAGUACUUUCACACACUCUCGAAUGUAAUGGAAUGUCUUGUUGUGCGUAACGUACAAACAGAAACAACUUUCAACAACGGAUCUCUUGGCUCUCGCAUCGAUGAAGAACGCAGCGAAAUGCGAUAAGUAAUGUGAAUUGCAGAAUUCAGUGAAUCAUCGAAUCUUUGAACGCACCUUGCACCCUUUGGUAUUCCGAAGGGUACGCCCGUUUGAGUGUCAUUGUAAUCUCACUAUGAUCGACUUUUGUCUUUUCGUAUGUGGACUUGGAUGUUGCCGUGAAUAAACAAGCGGCUCGUCUGAAAUGCCUGAGUGUACCCCGCUUUGCGGCGUAUUCGGUGUGAUAAAUCUUCACCGGAGUUGAUCCCUUUAUGGGGUCGCGUCUGUAAGGGUGUGGCUCUAUGCUUCGAACCGUCUCCUAUCGAGACAACUCUCUGACAAUUUGACCUCAAAUCGGGUGGGACUACCCGCUGAACUUAAGCAUAUCAAUAAGCGGAGGA
rnacentral:rRNA from 1 species